CGUGUAGGCGGUUUGGUAGGUCCGCUGUGAAAACUCGAGGCUCAACCUCGAGACGCCGGUGGAAACCAUCAGACUAGAGUCCGGAAGAGGAGAGUGGAAUUCCUGGUGUAGCGGUGAAAUGCGCAGAUAUCAGGAAGAACACCCGUGGCUAAGGCGGCUCUCUAGUACGGUACUGACGCUGAGACGCGAAAGCGUGGGGAGCGAACA
rnacentral:rRNA from 1 species